AAUAUCCUGUGUCGUCUGGAAGAAAUUACCCAGUGCACAGCAAGAGGGAGUCGGCCAAAAAUAGUUACAGCACAUGCUAUUAUCUGUCAGGGGCAUGGAGAUAGACAGGAGCCGAACUGCAGGAAGAGCUUAAACAAGGAAGCUGUUUAAAAAAAAACUUUAUUCCGCGUUAACAAGGUGUAGAGCUGGAUGAACACAGCAGGCCAAGCAGCAUCAGAGGAGCAGGAAGUCUGACGUUUCGGGCCUAGACCCUUCUUCAGAAAUCAUUUUCAGAAAACCCAUUUCUGAAGAAGGGUCUAGGCCCGAAACGUCAGACUUCCUGCUCCUCUGAUGCUGCUUGGCCUGCUGUGUUCAUCCAGCUCUACACCUUGUUAUCUCAGACUAUCCAGCAUCGGCAGUUCCUACUAUCCCUUUAUUCCGAGUUAACGUUAGACCAGAAACUGUUUUCUGAAAUUUCUGGUAACAGGUAAUAGCCGAAAUGCUGCCUAAUCCCUAAAGAAAUUCUAUAUAAUGGUAGAAUGGUUACACUGACAAAGGCCAUUCAGCCCGUAGCGCUGAUGCUGGCUACCUGAAACAGCAAUUCACCACGUGCCAUUCCUUGCCCUUUCCCCCAAGCUCUGCAUUUUUUUUAUUCCAUUUUUUAAAAAACUUCAGCUGAAUCUGCUUCCACCAGACUCACGGGUAGCGCAUUCAGAUCCUAACCACUCAAUGUCAACUUUGCUACUUUUGCCAAUUACCUUAAAUUUAUACCUUAUGGUUCUUGAUCCUUGCUCCACUGGGAACAAUGUGUCCUUAUCUACUCUGAAAAGACGCCUAAUGAUUUUGAAUACCUCAAUUGUAUCUCCGCCCUGCUUUCAGUUCUAGAACAGUCCCAAAUUCACUAACCUUUGUCUGUAACUGGAAUUCCUCAUCCCUGCAAACAUUGUCAUAAAUCUUUUCUGCAUCCUGUCUAAAGCCUUCAGAUUCUUCUCAAAGUGUAGUGCCCGGAACUGGUUGCAAUGCUCCAGUUGAGACCUGGCAAGUGUUUUAUACAGGUUUAACGUAAUGUAAUUUACUUUUGUACUAUAUGCCCCUAUGAAUAGCGUCCAUGAUGCGGUAUGCUUUAUUAACUGCUCUCUCUCUCUCUCUAGAUCUGUCCUGCCACUUUCAAUGUAAAAUACUGUGGCAGAUGCACAUCUAAAAUAAAAGCAGAAAAUGCUGGAAAAUUUCAGUGGGUCGGGCAGCGUCUGUAGCGUGUCACACCUCCUUGGGCUAACACUGCAAAUCAAGCCCCGUUCUACCUGAAGUCAUCACAAAAGAAGACAAACAUUCACACAAUGCCGGGACAGUGCAAAGACUGCAAGCAGGUUCCCUAUCUUCACAUUAUCACCACCGUGGAGGAGGAAGUCAUGAACGUCUCGACGGUUGCAGAACAAGCAAACAUUGGGAAAUGUGGGAUGCACAUUCACGGUGGAAAUGGUACUGAAUGCAUUCGGUAAGUGGGUGUGUUGCACUCCACUCUGACAGCAAAUUGAAACCAAGUCUCACUGGGGAAGUUUCAGUUCUGCAGAUGUUACAGCUCUUCAAGCCAAUCUCCCGUAAUCACUUUGUGUGCCUCUCACAGGUGCGAAGCUCAGAAAAAGGAAACAGAUUCCUUCACCCUCACUGUCCCAUACAUUUAGAUCGGGUGGCUACAGUGUGGACCAAAGCACAAGUAUGUAGGAGAAGGGCUAGAGAUAGGAUCAACUGUGUUCAGUCUUCCCUUGGAGGAUGGAGGAGAGACAAAGUCCUACUCAGGUGGGCACAGAGUGUUGGUCUACUCCUCAGUCACCUCCAAUACCCAAUCCCUUUCUCAUUACACCAUUCCAUGCAAACAUAGAGUGUAUAUUACCUACCCUUUUACCUCCUCACUCCUCACCAUCCAGGACCCACUCCUUUCAGGUGAACCAGCAAUUUAUGCAUAUUAUAUUUGCCGUUCAAAAUGUGGUAAUUUGCACAUUGGGAAGACCAAUGACUCGAUGCAGAUUGGAGAACACCUAUUUUCAAUCUGGAAGCAAGACCCCAAGCUUCUGGUGGCUGACAUUUUAAGUUUGUACUUUGCUCUCACGCUGACAUUUCUGUUCUCAGUCUGCUACACUGUACCAGUGAAAUUCAAUAAAAGAUUGUGGAACAGCA